CAGUCGCCACGGUAAUACGUAGGUCCCGGGCGUUGUCCGGAUUUAUUGGGCGUAAAGCGAGCGCAGGCGGUUAGAUAAGUCUGAAGUUAAAGGCUGUGGCUUAACCAUAGUACGCUUUGGAAACCGUUUAACUUGAGUGCAAGAGGGGAGAGUGGAAUUCCAUGUGUAGCGGUGAAAUGCGUAGAUAUAUGGAGGAACACCGGUGGCGAAAGCGGCUCUCUGGCUUGUAACUGACGCUGAGGCUCGAAAGCGUGGGGAGCAAACAGGAUUAGAUACCCCAGUAGUCCCUGUCUCUUAUACA
rnacentral:rRNA from 1 species